rnacentral:rRNA from 1 species
AUGUCUGGAGCGGGAGGCAAGUGGAUGACCUCCUCCGUUACGGAGGGGCACAUCGAAAGACUGCGCAGCGCCGAAUAUCUAUCCGGCGACAUCGCGCACCGACUGCCCGACGAGGGGCAGCUCAUCCCCACCCCCAGGCCCCAUGAGAGGGUCGUAUUCCUUCCCCACUUCCUCCGCGGACUGGGCUUCCCGCUGCAUCCCUUUGUCCAGGGGCUCAUGUAUUAUUACGGCCUGGAUUUCCACGAUCUGGCGCCAAACUUCAUCCUCAACAUCUCGGCGUUUAUCGUCGUGUGCGAGGCCUUCCUCUGCAUCCAGCCUCACUUCGGCUUGUGGCUCAAGACCUUUAAUGUCAAGCCGAAGGUGGUGAAGGGCACUCAGGCAGAGUGCGGAGGCGCCAUGUUGGGUAAGAUACCCAACGUCGUCUGGCUCGAGGGUGCCUUCGUGGAAACCAUCAAGGGAUGGCAAUCGGGGUGGUUCUACAUCACCGAGCCGCAUGACCCUAGAUGGGUUGCGGCCCCCGAAUUUAGAUCUGGGAUCCCCACGCGGCUCUCCUCUUGGAAGGAGAGCGGCCUAACCUGGGGUAAUUCGGAGGAGCUGACCGGACUCCAAGCCUGUAUCCAGAGGCUAGUGAACAAGAAGUUCAAGCUUGUCAACGUGGUCCAGGUCAUGCUCAUCCGCCGGAUUCUCCCGUGCCAAGAACGGGCAUUUAAAUUGUGGGAGUUCAAUCCGGCACAGCACCAGACCUUGAGCAGGCUCUUCGACACUAGGUACGAAGAUGCCUGGAAAGUGCUCUUCAAGGGCGCCGAAGCCCCCGCAUCCGCCACCGAAGAUCGCGGAUUUCGCUCGCAGCGCCAAGCUGACGAGGUAAGUGAUUCUACCCCUUUACGGGACACUUGCUAUUCAUAG